GUAGGUGGCAAGCGUUGUCCGGAAUUAUUGGGCGUAAAGCGCGCGCAGGCGGUUCUUUAAGUCUGAUGUGAAAGCCCACGGCUCAACCGUGGAGGGUCAUUGGAAACUGGAGAACUUGAGUACAGAAGAGGAAAGCGGAAUUCCACGUGUAGCGGUGAAAUGCGUAGAGAUGUGGAGGAACACCAGUGGCGAAGGCGGCUUUCUGGUCUGUAACUGACGCUGAGGCGCGAAAGCGUGGGGGAGCAAACAGGAUUAGAUACCCUGGUAGUCCACGCCGUAACGAUGAGUGCUAAGUGUUAGGGGGUUUCCGCCCCUUAGUGCUGCAGCUAACGCAUUAAGCACUCCGCCUGGGAGUACGGCCGCAAGGCUG
rnacentral:rRNA from 1 species